rnacentral:rRNA from 1 species
UACGGAGGGUGCAAGCGUUAUCCGGAUUCACUGGGUUUAAAGGGUGCGUAGGUGGGCAGGUAAGUCAGUGGUGAAAUCUCCGGGCUUAACCCGGAAACUGCCAUUGAUACUAUCUGUCUUGAAUACCCCGGAGGUGAGCGGAAUAUGUCAUGUAGCGGUGAAAUGCUUAGAUAUGACAUAGAACACCCAUUGCGAAGGCAGCUCACUACGGGAAUAUUGACACUGAGGCACGAAAGCGUGGGGAUCAAACAGG